rnacentral:misc_RNA from 1 species
ACUUUGAGUUUUGUCUACCCUCUAAUUGAUAAAAGUACCUAUAAUUUUUAACUAAUAUUUUGUGUUUUAAUCAAUUUGUUAAGGGACUCAUUGAUAGUUGACUUAAAGAGGAAACUACUCAAAACUAUGAAAUCCUUGAGCCAUUUUAGCUAGUAGAGCGGGCAACUAACGUGAAACUCUAUGACUACAUAGAUUUAGAACUACACGACAGAAGCUAAAGGUUUUGAUCAUGAUUGAAUGAACACCCAAGCCAUCCUAAAGUUGCACCAGUUCAGUCCAACUCUAGUUCAUUAAAGUCUGCAAUUAGCACUGCCAUUUAAACAGUCUUGCUUCAUGCAUGAUUAUAUAUGUUGUCUGCCGCGUCCUCUUUUUGUUUGUUAGUUUAUCGGUCGGGGAAAUGAAAGAUUUAUUUAGGAUCAGUAAAUAAAUUACACGAAGACUGUUCUACAAAGAACAGGUUAAAAAUAAGAGAAUAAUAAGUGAACUUAAUUGUUUCGAACACACUUAGUUUGUUGAUCUAACUAUAUUUUUCCUCUUACAAAAAUGGGUUGCGCCUAACUUACCCCCAAAAGCUAG